UACGGAGGGUGCAAGCGUUACUCGGAAUCACUGGGCGUAAAGCGCGCGCAGGCGGCUAUUUAAGUUGGAUGUGAAAGCCUACGGCUCAACCGUAGAACUGCAUCCAAAACUAUUUAGCUAGAGUGUGGGAGAGGAAGAUGGAAUUAGUUGUGUAGGGGUAAAAUCCGUAGAGAUAACUAGGAAUACCAAAAGCGAAGGCAAUCUUCUGGAACACUACUGACGCUGAGGCGCGAAAGCGUGGGGAGCAAACAGGAUUAGAUACCCUGGUAGUCCACGCAGUAAACGAUGAAUGUUAGUCGUCGGGGGCCUCGUGUCUUCGGUGAUGCAGCUAACGCAUUAAACAUUCCGCCUGGGGAGUACGGUCGCAAGAUUAAAACUCAAAGGAAUAGACGGGGACCCGCACAAGUGGUGGAGCAUGUGGUUUAAUUCGAAGAUACGCGAAGAACCUUACCUAGCCUUGACAUAUUUGAGAAUCUUUUAGAGAUAAGAGAGUGCCCUUCGGGAAUUCAUAUACAGGUGCUGCACGGCUGUCGUCAGCUCGUGUCGUGAGAUGUUGGGUUAAGUCCCGCAACGAGCGCAACCCUCGUCACUAGUUACUAACGGUUCGGCCGAGGACUCUAGUGAGACUGCCUUCGCAAGGAGGAGGAAGGUGAGGACGACGUCAAGUCAUCAUGGCCCUUACGGUCAGGGCAACACACGUGCUACAAUGGCCAGGACAGUGAGAAGCGAUACCGCGAGGUGGAGCAAAUCUAUAAACCUGGUCUCAGUUCGGAUUGUAGUCUGCAACUCGACUACAUGAAGCUGGAAUCACUAGUAAUCGUAGAUCAGCUAUGCUACGGUGAAUACGUUCCCGGGUCUUGUACUCACCGCCCGUCACACCAUGGGAGUUGAUCUCACCCGAAGCGGGGAAGCUAAACUGGCUACCCUCCACGGUGAAUC
rnacentral:rRNA from 1 species